rnacentral:snRNA from 1 species
UUCAAUUCCAUUGACAGAUGGAAAAUUUAGAAAGAUACAGGAAAGAAUAGUAUGGUUCCAUGUGCAAGAAUGACUCUAAUCUGUGAGAGUUGCAACAUUUGA